rnacentral:rRNA from 1 species
AGUGAACGCUGGCGGUAGGCCUAACACAUGCAAGUCGAACGGCAGCACAGGAGAGCUUGCUCUCUGGGUGGCGAGUGGCGGACGGGUGAGGAAUACAUCGGAAUCUACUCUGUCGUGGGGGAUAACGUAGGGAAACUUACGCUAAUACCGCAUACGACCUACGGGUGAAAGCAGGGGACCUUCGGGCCUUGCGCGAUUGAAUGAGCCGAUGUCGGAUUAGCUAGUUGGCGGGGUAAAGGCCCACCAAGGCGACGAUCCGUAGCUGGUCUGAGAGGAUGAUCAGCCACACUGGAACUGAGACACGGUCCAGACUCCUACGGGAGGCAGCAGUGGGGAAUAUUGGACAAUGGGCGCAAGCCUGAUCCAGCCAUACCGCGUGGGAGAAGAAGGCCUUCGGGUUGUAAAGCCCUUUUGUUAGGAAAGAAAUCCAGCUGGCUAAUACCCGGUUGGGAUGACGGUACCCAAAGAAUAAGCACCGGCUAACUUCGUGCCAGCCGCCGCCGUAA